UGAAAGAGACAGUGCCUGUGAGAACAUAGCAAUUUAGGUAAGUGGAAAAUAGUGGGUUUGAUAGGUGACACAGCUGAAAGUAAUGUUAAUUAAGCUCAAUCUCCUAUUGGAGGGGGCUUUGACCAAUGUGGUUUAGUGCAGAUGUCUAGGCCUGUAGCUGGGGUGUUGGAACUAGAUGAUUAUGAAGGUCUCUUGUAACCCAUACCACCAUUCUAUGAUUAUUUUAUAUAAGUAAAUAGACUGGCUGGUUACAGCUUUUAGCCCAUCUCAGCAACCACACUGUCUACAGCUUAUGGCAAUUUUUAAGGUUCCUGCUGUUAGUCACUAUUUCAGUGAUAUCCUGAAUUCAUCUCUCAUCUGUUUAUUCUGA
rnacentral:lncRNA from 1 species